GUUUUUGUAGUUGAAUUACAACAAUAGUUUUUCAGGCUAUGAGUCUAGGUUAGAAUCCUGGCAAGAAUA
rnacentral:tRNA from 1 species